rnacentral:rRNA from 1 species
UACGGGGGGGAGCAAGCGUUGUUCGGAUUUACUGGGCGUAAAGCGCACGUAGGCGGACAUUUAAGUCAGGGGUGAAAUCCCGGGGCUCAACCCCGGAACUGCCUUUGAUACUGGGUGUCUAGAGUAUGGAAGAGGUGAGUGGAAUUCCGAGUGUAGAGGUGAAAUUCGUAGAUAUUCGGAGGAACACCAGUGGCGAAGGCGGCUCACUGGUCCAUUACUGACGCUGAGGUGCGAAAGCGUGGGGAGCAAACAGG